rnacentral:rRNA from 1 species
AGAGUUUGAUCCUGGCUCAGGACGAACGCUGGCGGCGUGCCUAACACAUGCAAGUCGAGCGAUGAAAUCCCUUCGGGGAUGGAUUAGCGGCGGACGGGUGAGUAACACGUGGGUAACCUGCCUCAAAGAGGGGGAUAGCCUCCCGAAAGGGAGAUUAAUACCGCAUAAUAUUAGUUUUUCGCAUGAAGAACUAAUUAAAGGAGUAAUCCGCUUUGAGAUGGACCCGCGGCGCAUUAGCUAGUUGGUGAGGUAAAGGCUCACCAAGGCGACGAUGCGUAGCCGACCUGAGAGGGUGAUCGGCCACAUUGGAACUGAGACACGGUCCAGACUCCUACGGGAGGCAGCAGUGGGGAAUAUUGCACAAUGGGCGAAAGCCUGAUGCAGCAACGCCGCGUGAGUGAUGAAGGCCUUCGGGUUGUAAAGCUCUGUCUUUUGGGACGAUAAUGACGGUACCAAAGGAGGAAGCCACGGCUAACUACGUGCCAGCAGCCGCGGUAAUACGUAGGUGGCGAGCGUUGUCCGGAUUUACUGGGCGUAAAGGAUGCGUAGGCGGAUAUUUAAGUGAGAUGUGAAAUACCCGGGCUUAACUUGGGUGCUGCAUUUCAAACUGGAUAUCUAGAGUGCGGGAGAGGAGAAUGGAAUUCCUAGUGUAGCGGUGAAAUGCGUAGAGAUUAGGAAGAACACCAGUGGCGAAGGCGAUUCUCUGGACCGUAACUGACGCUGAGGCAUGAAAGCGUGGGUAGCAAACAGGAUUAGAUACCCUGGUAGUCCACGCCGUAAACGAUGAGUACUAGGUGUAGGAGGUAUCGACUCCUUCUGUGCCGCAGUUAACACAAUAAGUACUCCGCCUGGGAAGUACGAUCGCAAGAUUAAAACUCAAAGGAAUUGACGG